rnacentral:rRNA from 1 species
AACGAACGCUGGCGGCAUGCCUAACACGUGCAAGUCGAACGAGACCUUCGGGUCUAGUGGCGCACGGGUGCGUAACGCGUGGGAACCUGCCCUUAGGUUCGGAAUAACUCCCCGAAAGGGGUGCUAAUACCGGAUAAUGUCUUCGGACCAAAGAUUUAUCGCCUUUGGAUGGGCCCGCGUUGGAUUAGCUAGUUGGUAGGGUAAAAGCCUACCAAGGCGACGGUCCAUAGCUGGUCUGAGAGGAUGAUCAGCCACACUGGGACUGAGACACGGCCCAGACUCCUACGGGAGGCAGCAGUGGGGAAUAUUGGGCAAUGGGCGAAAGCCUGAUCCAGCAAUGCCGCGUGAGUGAUGAAGGCCUUAGGGUUGUAAAGCUCUUUUACCCGGGAUGAUAAUGACAGUACCGGGAGAAUAAGCUCCGGCUAACUCCGUG